AAGAGAAGGGACAAGACGAGAAAAGAAAAGACGUUAAAAAAGAAGAGAAAAUGAAAUGAGGAGAAACAGCAGAAGAAGAGAGGGGAGGAGGCAGGAGGGCAACAUGACGUGUGAACUCCCUCUUGUAAAGAGAGAGAAGAGGAGAAACGAUCAAAGAGAAGGGACAAGACGAGAAAAGAAAAGACGUUAAAAAAGAAGAGAAAAUGAAAUGAGGAGAAACAACAGAAGAAGAGAGGGGAGGAGGGGAGAGGAGCAAUAUGACGUGUGAAAGCUCUCAUGUAAAAGUCAAGGGAACCCUGAACUGCCACUUGAUCAACUACAAGUCAACCAGAUUUCUACAGAGACCUUUGCUGUGAUCAAACAGUGCAAACAAAGCCUUUUAAAUACUGAGUGAUAACAGGAAGAAACAUCUCAGUUUGGACUCUGUUGUUCCUGUUUUACCAGCAGGUUUUACUUUUGCAAUCAAAGUGUGUUUUCAUAUUGUUAUAGGCUACUAUUAUUUCAAGUACAGAGCAGGCCUGUGACAAUGCACAAGAGGCGCAAACCAUUUCCAAAUUUCAGCUUCAGUGAGGUGAUUGCAUGAAGUGGGGAAAAUGAUGUGACCCUAAAUAAAACCCCUUCAAAGCAUCUGAAUUAACUCUGGGUUGUUUGUGGUGUGGUGCUUGAUUAUUCUGUCCUCCUCUGUCUCCUAACAUGC